AUGGUCUGAGUCUGAUUCCUGUGG
rnacentral:miRNA from 1 species